GAUGAACGCUAGCGGCAGGCUUAACACAUGCAAGUCGAGGGGCAGCGCGGGAUAGCAAUAUCCUGGCGGCGACCGGCGGAAGGGUGCGUAACGCGUGAGCGACAUGCCCGUUGCCCGGGGACAACCGGUGGAAACGCCGACUAAUCCCCGAUGGGAUAUUGUGCCGCAUGGCACGAUAUUGAAAGUUACGGCGGCGACGGAUUGGCUCGCGUCCGAUUAGCUGGUUGGCGGGGUAACGGCCCACCAAGGCUGCGAUCGGUAGGGGUUCUGAGAGGAAGGCCCCCCACAAUGGGACUGAGACACGGCCCAUACUCCUACGGGAGGCAGCAGUGAGGAAUAUUGGUCAAUGGGCGGAAGCCUGAACCAGCCAUGCCGUGUGCGGGAAGGAGGCCCUAUGGGCUGUGAACCGCUUUUGCCUGGGGGCAAUAAGGGCGUCGCGCACGUCCGAUGAGAGUACCAGGCGAAUAAGCAUCGGCUAACUCCGUG
rnacentral:rRNA from 1 species